AAUGCGCUAAGUAAUGUGCCUUGCAGAAUUCAGUGAAUCAUCGAAUCUUUGAACGCACCUUGCGCUCCUUGGUAUUCCUUGGAGCAUGCCUGUUUGAGUAUCAUGAAAUCUUCAAAGUAAAUCUUUUGUUAACUCAAUUGGUUUCUACUUUGGUAUUGGAGGUCUUUGCAGCUUCACACCUGCUCCUCUUUGUUCAUUAGCUGGAUCUCAGUGUUAUGCUUGGUUCCACUCGGCGUGAUAAGUUAUCUAUCGCUGAGGACACUGUAAAAGGUGGCCAAGGUAAAUGCAGAUGAACCGCUUCUAAUAGUCCAUUGACUUGGACAAUACUUUUAUGAUCUGAUCUCAAAUCAGGUAGGACUACCCGCUGAACUUAAGC
rnacentral:misc_RNA from 1 species